GAUACAAGGAGCUUCUUC
rnacentral:misc_RNA from 1 species